GGCUUGUUUUGCCUUUAUUAGUUGGAAUGCUUUCAUGGAUGUAAUCAGAAGUAAUAAAAGAAGAAAUGCAAAUUCUUAUAAACUAAUGGAAGUCUUAAAAGAAGAAAUGCAAAUUCUUAUAAACUAAUGGAAGUCUUACGUAGGAAUGGAUGGACAUACUAAACUUUGAACUUAUCAUCAAUAUAAAAAUAGAUAAUUUUACAGAAGGCUUGCAGCGGAUUCUAAUGUUACAGGGAUAGAUAAAAUGAUUUUUUCCCCAGAGUCAGAAUUCUAGAAAAUCUCAAGUGGAGUACAGACAAGUUCAUAGGAAAAAGUGAUUCAAUGGUCCAUUUGAAAGUGUUAAUCAACAUCUUCAGGUCGUGGGGACUCACUGAAGAUCAGAUGGGGCAAGCAUUCUUGCUACCUCUCUCAGGCCUAGGCCUAGAUCUUCGUUGGCUCACUCAGUUGGAUCAGGCCCAAACUCAGACGUGGGCAACAAUCAUGAAGUGUUUCACAAAGCACUACUAUUACAACAUUGAGGAAAUUAAUUAAUUUAAGCUAAAAAAGUGCAUGUUAAUUAUGUAUUGCCCUAGCUAUGUGAAUGUGAUGCAUGCUUGAAAUUUUGACUUAAAUAAGUUCUUCCCAUGUUUACUCACCUUAGGAAGCAUUAUAUGCUUGUAGAAUUCAGAAUGCAAUUUUUUAUGUCAUACAUUUUUUAAUGUCAUCUUUAAUGCACAUUCAACAUUGUUACCUAGUGCUUUCUCUUAUUUUUCCAGAAAUACAUUUUCUAAUGUGUCUAUCCAAUAUAAUUCUUGUUGUUGUCCCUCCCAAAAACAAUGGUUUUGGGAGUAUAGUUUACAGUAAGUUCCAAAUGACUCUUAUCAUGUGUUAAAUUUGUUGAUUUUUUUUUCUACAAUUAUUUGAGUAGUCUAGCUAUCUAGCUAGCUGAUUUUAGGAUUUAGGUAGGCCAUUAUAGUUUAUAGCAGGAAGCUUGGGCAAUGGUUAGUAUCUGCUCCAGAUUUUGGCUAUUCAAGGUCAUUUUGUAUCACAAUUCCCCAAUUAUUUGGUUACAGUUCUGUUUUUGUCGAGUAUAAAGUUGUAGAUUAUGGUUGUUGAACUGUUUUAAAAUUUCUGAACAUGUUUUCUUUUCUAAGAAAAAAAAACUUAUGGUUUCGACUUAAAAAUACCUCACAGGACCAUUUAGAAGCAGCGACUUUUAGAUCUAUGAGUUGAUAAAAUGACAAUUGUAAUAGGAAAUGAUCAGCCUAUAGGUAGUUUUGGCAAGAAUGGUUUGGACUUAGAAAGUGAUGAUACCCAAUAUUUUUGUGUGUGAUGAUGUAGAGCCUUGUCAUCAUUCUUUUAUUGACUAAAACUUUGAGGAUCUUAAGGAAAUGAUAGCUUUUAUGUCCACCUAGUGUAGCCAAGGGCGUAUUUGACCAAUGUUGUUUCUUCAUCUAGGAAACACGGAAAGAAUCCUCAUGUGGAUGAGGAACUAGUGGAUAUGUUGGGCAUGAUGGCAUCAAAGAUUAAAAAACUAGCUGAUGCAUUGAUUCAAGGAGAGGAAUCUGCUUCUGCAUUUUUUUGAUAAGACUCUACAGAGAGGUGAUGAAGGUAGAUGGCUUCAAUUCUAACAUCUUAGAUGAUGUUUUCAAGGUCUUAAACAACAACGAAAAGUUGGCUAAAGCCUUUCUCUCUAGGGAUGAUAAUAGGAGACGUAGGAUAAUUGGGAAGUGGUAGAUAGGAACUUGAUGUAGGAGGAUAUAAUCAUUCAAGUUGAGUUUCUGAAGCCGUCCAAAGAUUUUUCUUCUUUUACUUCUAUAAAAUUUGUUAUUCUUUUUCUUGUUGAUUAGUCCAAUUAUCUUAGUUCCAUGUGUCCCUGCUAUAGGUUAACUGGAUUUGGCAUUUUAAGCAAUAUUGUCAUACUCUUAACAGAGAACAAAUAUGUCUUUUUUGUUAAAUAUAUGAGCACCAAACUUGUUGGCCAACUAGUAGUAAGAAUUGGGAUUAUGCGAAGCAGUGGUUGGAAUUUUGUGAGGGGAUAUAGAGUUGGCACAAGGCCAAAAGUUUCCAAAUGUGUGCCGUGUAGUAGAAACUAUAUAGUAUCUGCUUCAUGUAAUUUUGUUUGGUAACUCAUACUGCUUAUUUUAACUUUAUAUUAAUUUGCAUUGUCAAGCCGCGACCCCAUUUAGUUGGGAAAAUGCUUAGUUGUUGUGUUAAGUUGCAUUGUUAAUUGGGCCUGUACCAUAAAACCAUGCAGGUUCGAGGGGUUCCUCUUAUGUGUCUGAACUAAAGUGCUGGAUAUUCUAGUAUCAAUAUUAGUAUUGCUGUUUUUUUCGUUCCUUUUGCCUUUCUUUUCCUAUUGAAGUAUAUGUUAGGUUACUUCAAAAGCAUAAAAUGUUUUUGUGAUUGGUGGAUGUUUUGUAACUUUCUUGUUCUUUGUCUCUGUCAGUAGGGUUGGUAUAAAUCUAUUUUUACAAAGCUGAAACUAUUUUAUUUGCUUAGAACACUAUACUGUUGAGGAAACCUAGAAAGGGCUUUCUGGUUGUUUCUCAAUUUGUUUUCUGGAAAAUAACUCAUUUGUGUGUUUUAAGGAUGUAGGCCAAUUUCAGAACUUCCAUGUAUCAAUAAAGUUGAGAAAUGUCUCUGGAAUUUUGAGUUUCUUUAGAACUUAAUAUCAAUAAUUAAUUGCAGAGUGAUUCUUUUCUUCAACUUGAACCUCCUGCGAAUAUGGUGAGUUUGGACAUCUUUGUUCGGUUGUUCUGUUUUCCAAUGUUAAAUUAUGUUUCCUUUUUCCCCCCCUCCUUUUCAAAGUUUGCUGGUUGAGUCAAUAGGUUAUUAUUGAUAUUAGAAGAUAAGGCAUGUGCAAGAGAUGAGAAAAGAAAAGGAAUGAAGUUCUCCAAGGUGAUUUGGUGUUCGAUUAUUUAGUGCUCCAUUUGACAAUUUUUCCCUCAUUGAUCAAUUUGUGAUCAUCAAUUCAAGAAAUCGUUGUUGGCAACAAAUAAGAUAGAUUGAUUUGAAUUCAUCUAAUGAGCUUUAAUAUCUCCCUCUAAUGGUUUCAAGGUCUUUUAAUCUUGUGGGAGAUGAUAGAGGUGUGUAUAUAUAUAUAUAUAUAUAUGGUGCAAGUACAUGCCUAGACACAGUGGGUGCGGAAAGACUGUGUUGCCCCCAUAUUGUAGUUGCUCCCGCAUGCCCUCCCAUUGGCCCGUGCACUAAUGUGUACCUACGGUAGCAGGAUAGCAUUUUGUCGUUCUCUUGCCCUAUAUAGGGCAAAGGAAUCUUGUGCUUUAGCGUGGCUCCUGCACCGAUGUUAGGGGUGUCAAUAACUAAAUCAGACCGAUGAAAUCAGCCCGGACCGAGCCGAUUGAAUCCGAAUCAAACCGAAUUGAUGCCUUAUUGGGCCGGUUUCGGUUUGUACUUCAAAUCCAAUUCGGUUUUGAUUUGGUUUGGGCUAGACCGUUGGGCCACCGGUAAAGCCGGCAAUGUGAACCGAACCCCCAAUCGAUCCAAACCGACCCGACAUAAACCGAACCUAAAACUGACUCACUAACUUACGCUACUAACGGACUAACUCACUAACCCAACCACUGAACCACUUAACUAACCAAGUGAGCCAACCCAACAUGGACAAGACCCAAAUUGCCAAGUAUAUGUACUUAUUUUUCUUUCCAUGCGUUUAGAAGCCCUAAUUUUUUUUCUAAUCCUAAGUUGAAACUUGAAAGCGAAGAGUGAAGACUGAAAAGGCUGCUAAGCUGCUGAAGAUCUUUGCUGGCAAUCUAGCGGCCAGCGCAUCUCAGGCUACCAAGAUGACCUCAUCGCUAGCCUCUCACUCUCCUACCGAAGUGUUUCACUGCUUCACAAGCAUUAUUAGGACGGUCUGGAAGUGCUUCAGCUUCAAGGUUGUGAGGUUCAAAUUUCAAUUUAGAACGUCUUCUCUCCCAUAGGAUCUAUGCAUACUGAAGUACUUCUGUGCUGCCAGAAUUUUUUUCCUACCUCCAUGUUAGGGUUUCCCAGUUCCAGGUACAACUGUUUCCUUUUCCUUAUUUGCAAGUAUUUGUUCAAUCAUUUUCAACUGUUUCUCUUUAUUUCCAUCCUUGAAUCUCUCUUCCCUACUAAUCUCUUUAUUUCUUUGGCCGGAGUUCGAUGUUCUAUUUAGCUAUUUGGCUAUUCAUCUUUAGGUUUCUGUAUGGACUUUAGGUAAUGGAUGGGUGGCCAUAUUAUAAUCUUUGCUGUAUUUACCUGGGAACCUAUUAUGUUAAGAGUCUUAACGCUUUAAGCCUAUCAAGUUACUGCUCAAUCCAGAGAGAAGCUGAUAUCUUUGGUAGAACUCGCAGGGGACAACAUUGCCAAGUUCAGUGUAUAUCUUUUCCUGUAUAAUUCAUCUAGGUGGCAGAGAUAAACCUUUUCUUUACACAAUCACACCCUUAUUAUAGGGCCCCUUAGGAGAACCUGUAGCAUGCAUAAACAAAAUUAGACCUUACAAAUUAGUGAAAUUACAAUAUAAGAGAAAAUUUCUUUUUCCUAUAUGACUGUGACAUAUUGGCAAUUUGAGUGUAUACAAUUAAAUCCAAGUGGGUUAGUAAGUAGAGUUUACAAAUGUUAGGACUUUGUGUAAUUUCAUGGGUGUUUAAAAGUGUAUAACAGUGACCUAAAGGUCCUUUUUCUAUCUAGAACAGAUUCUAUUACUACUUUGAGUGAGAUUCAAGUGUCAUUUAUAAAGGAAAACAACACUGUGGUAUUGGAGAUUAAGGUCUUGAUUAAAAAUUCAUAUAACCUGUUCACUUAAAGAGUUCCUUUUUGAAUUUGUAAUGCUGGAUGGGUUUGUAUUAUAUAGGGCUAUUUUAAGAGUAAUUGAUUAAGAUUUAUGGAGGAUCUGUUAAUUAGGACAUGUUCUUAUUUGCUUCAACUUCAAACUAAGAGAGGAAAAGAUGGAAGUCUAUGGGUCCAACAGAAAGUAGGUUAGGCCAACAAGUGAGGCAAAGAGCUAGGGACAAUAUGCUUACUUGUGUGUUUGUGACUCUCUCUCUCUCUAGCCAGCUUAUGGUUGAAGCAAGUUAAAUAGGAAAAUUAAUAAUCCUUAGUAGGGAGCUUUUUAGAGAGAGAGGGAGGUAAGUGUAUAGUUCUUUUUAUUCCUUUGAAAUUGAAUGAUGAUACUGGAUUUUUUGUUGGGAUUUGUACAAGCCACAAUUUGUGUUUUGUUGGGCCAUGUCUCAUACAUUUUACUUUACAUUUCAAUAAUGGGUCAUUUGUAUCAGUUUUUCAUAGAUUUUUAAUUUAAACUAAUGGAUGUUUAAUUAAUAAUUUCUUGUAUUUUCCUCUGAAUCUGUUGUCUUGUUAUUAGUAUUAGUUUUCUAUGGUUAUUAUUAAUUAAUAUGUUAUAUGUGUUCUUAUUAAUUAGGGAAAUGUCCAUCAAUAUAGAAGAUGAGCCCGAUUGUGGGUUAGAUGUUGAUGUUAUGUAUGAUGAUGAACCAUAUAUUCCUGGAAUUCCAUCGACAAAACAUUCAGUCAUAACAAUUGUAGCAAACGAAAUUACCAAGAAGAAAAGGAGUUUCGUUUAGGAUGAGUUUAAGAUCCUUGAUGGGAAGGGUUUUGCUGAUAGGAGGAAUUGAGCUGAAUAGAAAGAUGUAACCAAGUCUAUAAGGAUGAUAGUAAUGUUAAUGGAACUGGAAGCCUUAGGAGAUAUAUUCUGUUGGUGUACGAUGUCUUGUAUUCCGUCAUAGUUUAAUUCAGGGAGUAUUGGUGCAGGUGCCUCGAUAGGUAGGACGGCGGUUCCGCAGGCCGAUUAGCUGGCUGUGGGGCUUGCAAGGGGGUAGGAGGCCCCCCUGCAUAGUGGGGGUGUAGUGGUGCAGCCCAUGCUCGAUAUAUAUAUAUAUAUAUAUAUAUUUUUUUUUAGGGCAGUUUUGUACUUUUCAGAUUAAGGUUUUUCGCAUAUUUAUAGUGAGGUUUUUCUUUCUCUGUAAUGCAAGCAAUACUAGGAGGUGUGAGGACGAGCGCUGUAACCCUAUUGUCCAUUGAUAGUGAAGUAGGAUCUCAUCUCACCGAGGAUGUAGGCAAUCUUGCCGAACCUUGUAAACUUGUUUGGAUUGUUUGUUCUUGUUUUUCCAUUAUCUUCUGCAUCGUUUUAGGGUUGUGUUUCUAUAAUAUUCUACAUUGCCAAAAUGGGAAAAACAAAGGAAACACAAACACCCAAAUGAUUUUGGAUGUAAAUGAAGGGAAAGUGAUAUUAAGAGACAAAAAGGUUGACUAAGACUUUAUUUGUGACAAAGUUACGAAGUUUAUUGUGAGACAUGACCUUUAGUUUUUAUUGAGUAUGAGGAGUUCAGGGAGUUAAUUACAUAAUUUUUUUUGGACUACACCCAUAUUACUCGAAACACGCAAAUGUUAGAUAUUUUGAGGUUUUACAAUUUGGAGUCUAUUAGAAUCAAUAUUUUACUUAAUUCUUUUGCUGAGAAGAUUUCUUUGACAAAUGAUUUGUGGACAUCCAUCACCAAUGAUGGAUACGCUGCUUUGACUGCCCAUUACGUUUAUAAGGAUUGGGUGUUGCAUAAAUUGAAGUUUUGCAUCAUGCUACCUCCACCCAUUGACAUCCAUAUCUGUGAAAUGGUUUAAAAAAUCUUGUCUGACUAGGAUAUUGAUCGGAUUUUGCUUUCAAUUACUUGGGAUAAUGCCAUAACUAAUUUUUGUUUUGUUGACUUGCUGAAGAAAAAUUUAAAUUUGAAGAAUACUCUUUUAUGUAGAGGAUUAUACUUUCAUAAUAGGUGUUGUGCACAUAUUUUCAAUCUUAUUGUACAUGAUGGACUAAAGCAUAUAGAUGACUAUAUGGUGUUGGUGCGAGCUUGUAUAACAUAUGUGAAAGGAUCACAAGCAAGGAAAGUAAAAUUCUUGGAAAUUUAGAAGCAAUUCGGAUUGCAAAGUAGUAAGAGCUUCCAUUUUGGUGUUUCUAAAAGGUGGAACUCAACCUAUCUCAUGCUUGAUUUUGCCUUAUUUUAUUAUAAAGUAUUUGAGAACCUUGGACUAGUGGAUGACAACUUUAAAACUUGUCAUAGUUUUGAUUAAUGGUUAAAAAUUGAGAGAUUGACGAGUGUUUUGUAUACCUUCUAUGCAAUUACUGUUUUGCUUUUUGGUUCCAAGUAUCCCACAACAAAUUUAUAUUUUGAAAAUGUUUGGGAGAUUCACAAAAGUUUAUUACAAGAGGUAUCAUGUGGGCUCAAUUUAUGAAGUCAAUGGCAAUGGAAGUGAUGAAAAAAUUUGACAAAUAUUGGAGUGAAUAUAGUCCAAUUUUGGCCAUUGCUUUGGUGUUUGAUUAUCGUCACAAACUUAGUUUUGUGACUUGGGGCAUUUUCUAAGCUUUCCAACCUGGACUUAAAUGCAUCUACUAUGUGCAACAAUGUGGAAUCUUCUCUGUAUCAAUUGUUUGAUGAGUACAAGAGUAUGCAACUAGUUGACUAUGAUGUUCCCACACUUGUUCAUUGUCCUAGGAAAUCAUAAACAAGAUUUGUAAGUAAGUUUACAUUCUGAUAGUAAUUUUGAUUUAUUUUUUAAAUACAAGUUUUCAUAUUCAUUGCUAAUCUUAUUAAUGAUUUAUAUUUCGGUUAUUUCCUAAUUUCUAUAGGAAUUUAUGGUAUCUGUGCUUGCUGAGGUGAACAAUGAAAGUAAAUCUCAAUUGGAUAUAUAUCUGGAUGUACUCAAGAUCUCAUUCAAUGAUAAUGAUGAUGAUGAGUAUGAUGUGUUGACACUUUGGAAAGCAAAUGGGUCAAGGUAUCCAGAUGUGAGAUUCACAAAAGUUUAUUACAAGAGGUAUAAUGUGGGCUCAAUUUUAUGAAGUCAAUGGCAGUGGAAGUGUAGAAAAAAUUUGACAAAUAUUGGAGUGAAUAUAGUCCAAUUUUGGCCAUUGCUUUGGUGUUUGAUCCUCAUCACAAACUUAGUUUUGUGACUUGGGCAUUUUUUAAGCUUUCCAACUUGGACUUAAAUGCAUUUACUAUGUACAACAAUGUGAGAUCUUCUUUGUAUCAAUUGUUUGAUGAGUACAAGAGUAUGCAACCAGUUGACUAUGAUGUUCCUACUCUUGUUCAUCGUCCUGGGAAAUCAUAAACAAGAUUUGUAAGUAAAUUUACAUUCUGGUAGUAAUUUUGAUUUAUUUUUUAAAUACAAGUUUUCAUAUUCAUUGCUAAUCUUAUUAAUGAUUUAUAUUUCGGUUAUUUCCUAAUUUCUAUAUGAAUUUAUGGUAUUUGUGCUUGCCGAGGUGGAUAAUGAAUGUAAAUCUCAAUUGGAUAUAUAUCUAGAUGAACUUAAGAUCCCAUUCCAUGAUAAUGAUGAUGACGAGUAUGAUGUGUUGACACUUUGGAAAGCAAAUGGGUCAAGGUAUCAAGAUGUGGCUCGAAUGGCUCGUGAUGUCUUGACUAUACUAGUUUUCACAAUUGCUUCGGAGUCGGCUUUUAGUGCAAGGUGCUGUGUUAUUGAAAAAUAUUAGAGCAAACUCCUACCUACCAACUCUAGAGCACUAAUAUGUUGGUAGCAUUAAUAUGCCUUCGGGAUUGGAUGUUUGAUAUAAACUUCAAAGCUGAGCCUUUUGAUGAUCCCGUUGACAUGGAUAAUGCAUUUGGAAAUGUGCUGGAACUAUUACAAAUUGAAAGGGGGAGAGGUGCAAUUGUUAGUUCUUCAGCUUGUCCUACUCCUAGAGAAGGAUAAGCUCAAUUUUAUUGAGCAGGUGUACCGUAGUUUGUACUUGCACGUAUUUUAUAAAACAUUUUUGUUAGUGUCAUUAUGUUGUCUUAAAUCUUCUUAACUUUUGGUUGCAGUUUUUUGGAAUAGUAGGAGUGUAGGACACAUUUGUGGUCUUAAGAUUAAUUACUCAACACAUCAUUUUUGGAGGACAAAGAGUUGUAAUAUUUUUAAGGGAACAUUGAAAUAUUUUGAGAAAGAAGAUGGUCAUUUGAUAUUUUAAUGUAAUAUUGAACACUCUAUUUGAAUGUUUUAGAUGGAUCUUUUAUGGUUGGUUUGACUAUUUGCAUUAGCUAUUGGCACACUUUAUCUCUAUUUUAGGUGGGUGAUUCUGUGAUUGAAUUAUUUUAGGUGGUCCGUGGUUGAUUGAACCAUUUGAAUAUUUGGUACUUUGAUAGUUAAGAUGACUCAUGUCUUGAUCAAUGUUUUGUGCUUAAUAAGUUAUUCGGUUUCUUUAUGUAUGGGAAUUCAUAUUCACUAUUGGAUACUUGUAUCCUUCAGAUCA